GUGCGUGUAGAUUAUAUUUUUAGUUAGAUCGUAAGGCUGUUAACUUUAAGGAGGAGGUUUCCCACGAACG
rnacentral:tRNA from 1 species